rnacentral:rRNA from 1 species
GUUGUAUGGUUAAGUGACUAAGCGUACACGGUGGAUGCCUUGGCAGUCAGAGGCGAUGAAGGACGUACUAACUUGCGAUAAGCGGUGAUGAGGCAGUAAGAGCCACUUGAGUCACCGAUUUCCGAAUGGGGAAACCCACUUACAUAAGUAAGUAUCGCUGCAUGAAUACAUAGUGCAGCGAAGCGAACCGGGAGAACUGAAACAUCUAAGUACCCCGAGGAAAAGAAAUCAACCGAGAUUCCGAAAGUAGCGGCGAGCGAAAUUGGAUUAGCCCUUAAGCUUUAUAUGCGUUAGACGAAUGGUCUGGAAAGGCCAACGAUACCGGGUGAUAGUCCCGUAGUCAUAGGCGCAUGUUCAGUGAAAUCGAGUAGGGCGGGACACGUGUUAUCCUGUCUGAAUAUGGGGGGACCAUCCUCCAAGGCUAAAUACUCCUGACUGACCGAUAGUGAACCAGUACCGUGAGGGAAAGGCGAAAAGAACCCCUGUGAGGGGAGUGAAAUAGAACCUGAAACCGUGUACGUACAAGCAGUAGGAGCAGGCUUUGUCCUGUGACUGCGUACCUUUUGUAUAAUGGGUCAGCGACUUAAUGUUAGUAGCAAGGUUAACCGCAUAGGGGAGCCGUAGGGAAACCGAGUCUUAACUGGGCGUAUAGUUGCUAGCAUUAGACCCGAAACCGAGUGAUCUAGCCAUGGGCAGGUUGAAGGUUGAGUAACAUCAACUGGAGGACCGAACCGACUAAUGUUGAAAAAUUAGCGGAUGACUUGUGGCUAGGGGUGAAAGGCCAAUCAAACUCGGAGAUAGCUGGUUCUCCCCGAAAGCUAUUUAGGUAGCGCCUCGGACGAAUACUACUGGGGGUAGAGCACUGUUAAGGCUAGGGGGUCAUCCCGACUUACCAACCCUUUGCAAACUCCGAAUACCAGUAAGUACUAUCCGGGAGACACACGGCGGGUGCUAACGUCCGUCGUGGAGAGGGAAACAACCCAGACCGCCAGCUAAGGUCCCAAAUUACAGCUAAGUGGGAAACGAUGUGGGAAGGCUUAGACAGCUAGGAUGUUGGCUUAGAAGCAGCCAUCAUUUAAAGAAAGCGUAAUAGCUCACUAGUCGAGUCGGCCUGCGCGGAAGAUGUAACGGGGCUAAGUUGUAAACCGAAGCUGCGGCAAUGUUCUUGGAACAUUGGGUAGGGGAGCGUUCUGUAAGCCGUUGAAGGUGUGUUGUAAAGCAUGCUGGAGGUAUCAGAAGUGCGAAUGCUGACAUGAGUAACGACAAGGGGGGUGAAAAACCUCCCCGCCGGAAGACCAAGGGUUCCUGUCCAACGUUAAUCGGGGCAGGGUGAGUCGACCCCUAAGGCGAGGCCGAAAGGCGUAGUCGAUGGGAAACGGGUUAAUAUUCCCGUACUCGAUCAAAUUGCGAUGGGGGGACGGAGAAGGCUAGGUGGGCCUGGCGACGGUUGUCCAGGUUCAAGUGCGUAGGCUGAGUGUUUAGGUAAAUCCGGACACUCGAUAGGCUGAGACACGACGUCGAGCUACUACGGUAGUGAAGUCAUUGAUGCCAUGCUUCCAGGAAAAGCCUCUAAGCUUCAGAUUUGAUGGAAUCGUACCCCAAACCGACACAGGUGGUCGGGUAGAGAAUACCAAGGCGCUUGAGAGAACUCGGGUGAAGGAACUAGGCAAAAUGGUACCGUAACUUCGGGAGAAGGUACGCUCUUGAUGGUGAAGUCCCUCGCGGAUGGAGCUGACGAGAG